GAUGAACGCUGCCAGAAUGCUUAACACAUGCAAGUCGAUGGGGAAGUGGUGCUUGCACCAUGGCAACCAUGGCGGACGGGUGAGUAACGCGUAAGGGACUUACCUGCAGGACUGGGAUAACAGGGGGAAACUCCUGACAAGACCGGAUAAUGUCAUGGAGCUGCAUGGCUUUAUGAUGAAAGGAGACGCCUGCGGAGAGCCUUGCGUCCUAUUAGCUAGUUGGUGAGGUAAUGGCUCACCAAGGCGAAGAUAGGUAGCCGGCCUGAGAGGGUGGACGGCCACAAGGGGACUGAGAUACGGCCCUUACUCCUACGGGAGGCAGCAGUGGGGAAUAUUGGACAAUGGGGGCAACCCUGAUCCAGCAAUUCUGUGUGCACGAAGAAGGUUUUCGGAUUGUAAAGUGCUUUCAGCAGGGAAGAAGUAAGUGACGGUACCUGCAGAAGAAGCGACGGCUAAAUACGUG
rnacentral:rRNA from 1 species